ACACAACUUAAAAUAUAUUUUUGUAAUGCUCUACUUAAAAUAACAUGCUGCCAUGAGUGCUUUAGAUAUUAGCACAUCUGCCAUUGAGAGUUUCUACUGUGUAACCGUUUGCGAUUGAAUGAAUAAAGGCAUAGACUGUCCAACAUCGUUAUACAAACUAUUUUUGAAUAUAAACAUUCUGGAUACCAUUCACAAGGUAAUAACCAACUAAUAUAAACUGCAGGAGCCCUGGAGGUGUACCACAGUGCAAUUCUGAAGUACACUGAAAAGAGGCUUCACUUCGCCUACAGCUCUAUGAAGGCACGCACCCUACUCUCUGUGAUGGACAACAACGAGAAUGUUGGCCGUCAACAAGCAACGACCAGUGAUGGGACUCCGAGAUACAAUUUGGUUUUUCCCAAACAAUCUAAAAGAUGGGUUGCCAGGAAGAGGUACGAGCCAACCAGGCAGACAUUCAGGAAGGAUUUGGUGGAGCGGGUCCUGGAAAGGCGCAUGGAUCCUACUGUGAAGUUUGCAGAUCCACAUUUUUAUAUCCAGCAACCAGCUACUAUACCCGACAACAUAGCCACCACUCCAAGACCGGACAAAGAUCAAAGUAUUGCAGAGCACGUCUCCCGUUUUAAAACAUGAUUAAAAGGGGAAAAUGAAAGUCUAACUGGAGUUUAGUGUGGCGCUAAAUACUGUCUGCAAACAUUAGUAAAAAGACAAAAAGGUCAACAGCAAAACAUUUAUUGAACCAUAUACGAGUACAUUGUUGUUAAAAUGUUACGGUAAACAAUCGUAAUGUCAUCUGUAACCAAAUGUAUGUCUUCUUUUUGUGUUUGAUAUAAAGGAUUUGUUGAAGUAGCAAA